GGAUAACACUUGGAAACAGGUGCUAAUACCGUAUAACACUACUUUCCGCAUGGAAGAAAGUUGAAAGGCGCUUUUGCGUCACUGAUGGAUGGACCCGCGGUGCAUUAGCUAGUUGGUGAGGUAACGGCUCACCAAGGCCACGAUGCAUAGCCGACCUGAGAGGGUGAUCGGCCACACUGGGACUGAGACACGGCCCAGACUCCUACGGGAGGCAGCAGUAGGGAAUCUUCGGCAAUGGACGAAAGUCUGACCGAGCAACGCCGCGUGAGUGAAGAAGGUUUUCGGAUCGUAAAACUCUGUUGUUAGAGAAGAACAAGGAUGAGAGUAAAAUGUUCAUCCCUUGACGGUAUCUAACCAGAAAGCCACGGCUAACUACGUGCCAGCAGCCGCGGUAAUACGUAGGUGGCAAGCGUUGUCCGGAUUUAUUGGGCGUAAAGCGAGCGCAGGCGGUUUCUUAAGUCUGAUGUGAAAGCCCCCGGCUCAACCGGGGAGGGUCAUUGGAAACUGGGAGACUUGAGUGCAGAAGAGGAGAGUGGAAUUCCAUGUGUAGCGGUGAAAUGCGUAGAUAUAUGGAGGAACACCAGUGGCGAAGGCGGCUCUCUGGUCUGUAACUGACGCUGAGGCUCGAAAGCGUGGGGAGCGAACAGGAUUAGAUACCCUGGUAGUCCACGCCGUAAACGAUGAGUGCUAAGUGUUGGAGGGUUUCCGCCCUUCAGUGCUGCA
rnacentral:rRNA from 1 species